UACGUAGGGCGCAAGCGUUGUCCGGAAUUAUUGGGCGUAAAGAGCUCGUAGGCGGCUUGUCACGUCGGGUGUGAAAGCCCGGGGCUUAACCCCGGGUCUGCAUUCGAUACGGGCUAGCUAGAGUGUGGUAGGGGAGAUCGGAAUUCCCGGUGUAGCGGUGAAAUGCGCAGAUAUCGGGAAGAACACCCGUGGCUAAGGCGGCUCUCUAGUACGGUACUGACGCUGAGACGCGAAAGCGUGGGGAGCGAACAGG
rnacentral:rRNA from 1 species